CUUCCGUAGGUGAACCUGCGGAAGGAUCAUUACCGAGUGAGGGCCCUCUGGGUCCAACCUCCCACCCGUGUUUAUUUUACCUUGUUGCUUCGGCGGGCCCGCCUUAACUGGCCGCCGGGGGGCUUACGCCCCCGGGCCCGCGCCCGCCGAAGACACCCUCGAACUCUGUCUGAAGAUUGUAGUCUGAGUGAAAAUAUAAAUUAUUUAAAACUUUCAACAACGGAUCUCUUGGUUCCGGCAUCGAUGAAGAACGCAGCGAAAUGCGAUACGUAAUGUGAAUUGCAAAUUCAGUGAAUCAUCGAGUCUUUGAACGCACAUUGCGCCCCCUGGUAUUCCGGGGGGCAUGCCUGUCCGAGCGUCAUUUCUGCCCUCAAGCACGGCUUGUGUGUUGGGCCCCGUCCUCCGAUCCCGGGGGACGGGCCCGAAAGGCAGCGGCGGCACCGCGUCCGGUCCUCGAGCGUAUGGGGCUUUGUCACCCGCUCUGUAGGCCCGGCCGGCGCUUGCCGAUCAACCCAAAUUUUUAUCCAGGUUGACCUCGGAUCAGGUAGGGAUACCCGCUGAACUUAAGCAUAUCAAUAA
rnacentral:rRNA from 1 species